AGAGUUUGAUCAUGGCUCAGAACGAACGCUGGCGGCAGGCUUAACACAUGCAAGUCGAACGCCCCGCAAGGGGGAGUGGCAGACGGGUGAGUAACACGUGGGAACGUGCCCUUCGCUUCGGGAUAGCCUCGGGAAACUGGGAGUAAUACCGAAUACGCCGUAUUGGGAAAGAUAUAUCGGCGAAGGAUCGGCCCGCGUUGGAUUAGCUAGUUGGCGGUGUAAUGGACCACCAAGGCUACGAUCCAUAGCUGGUCUGAGAGGACGACCAGCCACACUGGGACUGAGACACGGCCCAGACUCCUACGGGAGGCAGCAGUGGGGAAUCUUGGACAAUGGGCGCAAGCCUGGUCCAGCCAUGCCGCGUGAGUGAAGAAGGCCUUAGGGUUGUAAAACUCUUUCGCCGGUGAAGAUAAUGACGGUAACCGGAGAAGAAGCCCCGGCUAACUUCGUG
rnacentral:rRNA from 1 species